rnacentral:tRNA from 1 species
UGGGGAGUCGCCUAACGGUAUGGCAUCGAUCUUUGACAUCGAAACAAUGCAGGUUCGAGUCCUGCCUUCCCAG